rnacentral:rRNA from 1 species
UACGUAGGGUGCAAGCGUUGUCCGGAAUUAUUGGGCGUAAAGAGCUCGUAGGCGGUUUGUCGCGUCUGCUGUGAAAACUCAGGGCCUUAACUCUGAGCUUGCAGUGGGUACGGGGCAGACUAGAGUGCGGUAGGGGAGACUGGAAUUCCUGGUGUAGCGGUGAAAUGCGCAGAUAUCAGGAGGAACAGCCGGUGGCGAAGGCGGGUCUCUGGCCGUAACUGACGC